rnacentral:tRNA from 1 species
UGCGUCGUGGAGCAGGGGUAGCUCGCAAGGCUCAUAACCUUGAGGUCACAGGUUCGAUUCCUGUCGACGCAA